rnacentral:rRNA from 1 species
UACGGGGGGUGCGAGCGUUGUCCGGAAUCACUGGGCGUAAAGGGCGCGUAGGUGGCUUUGUAAGUUUGCGGUGAAAGCCCGGGGCUCAACCCCGGGUCUGCCGUGGAUACUGCAAGGCUUGAGUACUGUAGAGGCAGGUAGAAUAUCGGGUGUAGCGGUGGAAGUGCGUAGAGAUCCGAUAGAAGACCGGUGGCGAAGGCGGCCUGCUGGGCAGUAACUGACACUGAGGCGCGACAGCGUGGGGAGCAAACAGG